AGUACUGGCAGUUAAUAUCGGAACACAACCAAUAUGUGCACAACGACGCUGUAACGAUACCGAAUUGUCGUUAUAAAGUUAGAGAAUAGGCCUACUGGAGUGAUUUCGGUACUCUAGUCGGAAUUCAGUUGGCUGUCUGGUCAACUAUAACCUACCGAUAGACGAAGAGGGCAAAUUUUUAGAGACACGCGCGAACUGCACACACCAUGUUAUCCUUUCACCAUGCUCCUGACCCGACUGUGUAAUCGAUGGAAUGAUACAAUGUUCAGCUGAGACAUAACUUAUUAUCGAUGAUACUGAGGAUUCGCUGGUCGGCCGCGUACCAGAAAGCGUGUUUGUAAUAGAGUGAAAAAGCGCGGUUAGGAUUGCUGAUGCAAUCCUCGAGUUCUUCACCGAGUUUUAACUCGAGUAUACUUCUUGGCAUUCUUAUUUACGUUUUUGUGUUCCUAAAUUGUUUUGUUUUGGUCGUAUCACUCCCGCCCAACUAAUAUACAGGGAGUGGGUACCAUUAAUCAAGAAGAAGAAGAAGAUCGAUGAUACUUUCAGAUAGUGCUGGAAAAAA